GAUGAACGCUGGCGGCGUGCCUAAUACAUGCAAGUCGAGCGAACAGACGGAGGUGCUUGCACCUCCUGACGUUAGCGGCGGACGGGUGAGUAACACGUGGGUAACCUACCUAUAAGACUGGGAUAACUUCGGGAAACCGGAGCUAAUACCGGAUAAUCUUUAGCUUCGCAUGAAGCAAUAGUGAAAGACGGUUUUGCUGUCACUUAUAGAUGGACCCGCGGUGCAUUAGCUAGUUGGUGAGGUAACGGCUCACCAAGGCAACGAUACAUAGCCGACCUGAGAGGGUGAUCGGCCACACUGGGACUGAGACACGGCCCAGACUCCUACGGGAGGCAGCAGUAGGGAAUCUUCCGCAAUGGACGAAAGUCUGACGGAGCAACGCCGCGUGAGUGAAGAAGGUUUUCGGAUCGUAAAACUCUGUUGUAAGGGAAGAACAAGUACGUUAGUAACUGAACGUACCUUGACGGUACCUUACCAGAAAGCCACGGCUAACUACGUGCCAGCCGCCGCAGUAAUAC
rnacentral:rRNA from 1 species